rnacentral:rRNA from 1 species
AACGAACGCUGGCGGCAGGCUUAACACAUGCAAGUCGAACGCCCCGCAAGGGGAGUGGCCGACGGGUGAGUAACGCGUGGGAACAUACCCUUUUCUACGGAAUAGCUCUGGGAAACUGGAAUUAAUACCGUAUACGCCCUACGGGGGAAAGAUUUAUCGGGGAAGGAUUGGCCCGCGUUGGAUUAGCUAGUUGGUGGGGUAAAGGCCUACCAAGGCGACGAUCCAUAGCUGGUCUGAGAGGAUGAUCAGCCACAUUGGGACUGAGACACGGCCCAAACUCCUACGGGAGGCAGCAGUGGGGAAUAUUGGACAAUGGGCGCAAGCCUGAUCCAGCCAUGCCGCGUGAGUGAUGAAGGCCUUAGGGUUGUAAAGCUCUUUCACCGAUGAAGAUAAUGACGGUAGUCGGAGAAGAAGCCCCGGCUAACCUCGUG